GCCCGCCGUAAAGGAAUCUCAAACUCGUUAUAAACUUGUUAUCUUCUGAACCAAACAUAAAUAAAUUAAAACUUUCAACAACGGAUCUCUUGGUUCUGGCAUCGAUGAAGAACGCAGCGAAAUGCGAUAAGUAAUGUGAAUUGCAGAAUUCAGUGAAUCAUCGAAUCUUUGAACGCAUAUUGCGCCCUUUGGCAUUCCGAAGGGCAUGCCUGUUCGAGCGUCAUUUCACCCCUCAAACUUCACUGUUUGUUGUUGGGCACUGCCGGUAGGCACGCCUAAAAAUCAGCGACGGUUUCAGCCAACCUCUAGCGUGCAAGUAUCGUUAUGAUGGAAGGUUGGGGCUUGUCAUAGCUUUACAUAUCUAUAUGUUGACCUCGGAUCAGG
rnacentral:rRNA from 1 species